UGGGGGAUAUUGCACAAUGGAGGAAACUCUGAUGCAGCGACGCCGCGUGAGGGAAGAAGGUCUUCGGAUUGUAAACCUCUGUCUUCGGGGACGAAAGAAAUGACGGUACUCGAGGAGGAAGCCACGGCUAACUACGUGCCAGCAGCCGCGGUAAAACGUAGGUGGCAAGCGUUGUCCGGAAUUACUGGGUGUAAAGGGAGCGCAGGCGGAACUGCAAGUUGGAUGUCAAAUCUACGGGCUCAACCCGUAUACGCAUUCAAAACUGCGGUUCUUGAGUAGUGCAGAGGUAGGCGGAAUUCCCGGUGUAGCGGUGGAAUGCGUAGAUAUCGGGAGGAACACCAGUGGCGAAGGCGGCCUACUGGGCACCAACUGACGCUGAGGCUCGAAAGCAUGGGUAGCAAACAGG
rnacentral:rRNA from 1 species